GGAAAAUGCAGAACGGAGAAACGUUGCAUGCUGGGGAGUUGAGUCGCUGCCGGGCACUCGGUACUCCGGAGAGCGUUGCAUUCUGGGUAUUGUAGUCUUCCCAGCCCCUCGCUCAUUGUGCCGGACAAAUCGUGGAGUGCGGUGCUUGGUCCUGCCGGAUGCCCCAGGCCUCUGCCCAGUGCGUCCUCCUCAGAGGGGUAUCGGAAUUCGAGGCGGGCAUCGCGCUCCGCUCCCUCCUCCUCCGCUCAGUCUGCAGGGGUGGGGCAGUUUUCACCGCGAGGCGGGAGUUUGAAUCGCUCUCGCGGGUGCCGGCCUCCGCGCUAACUACCUCCCCUCACCUCAGCGCGGCCGUUUCCUCGGGCACGACGAGACAGGUCGCGGUGCCGUUUUGUGCUGUCCUGUUUCCGAAUCGGGACGAGCUCUGUGGAAAUAAUUGAUGGACAUUGGAGUGUCAAGAGAAAAAUAAAAAGGGUUUAAAGGACAAAUUUCCAGGGGCUGACGGAAAAACCUUAAAAGUAAUACUUUGAAGUGAAAGUGCCUUUCUUAUUAAAAUCCCUGAAUACAUAUUUUAAACAACUUUUUUUAUUUACCAUUGGGCUAGCAGACAGACUCCAGAUUUUCCUUGUGUUUGGAUAUUUUUUAAGGCUGCUUGUAGAUCUCUAUAUUCAUAGCAAAAGUGUUGCCUGUAAUCAUGAACAGUGGAAAUCAAUUUGUGGAAACUCUAAAGAAAGUUGGUUAUCCAAAAGCUGCUGAGCUUAAUGGAGAAGACUUUGACUGGUUGUUUGAAACUGUGGAAGAUAAAUCAUUUUUGGAGUGGUUUUGUGGAAAUGUGAAUGAGCAGCAUGUGUUAACUGAAAAAGAACUGCAAGCUUUUGAUGCUCUUCUUAAAUCUGGCAAGCCCAUUUUAGAAGAGGCGGCUUUGGAUGAAGUUCUUAAAACCUGCAAAACCUUUGAUUCAAAAUCAAGUAGCAUGGACGAAGGAGAACUUCAGAGGCUAGAGGAAGAAUUUCAAGCUCUUCAGAAAAUUAAAAACCUAAAAAUUCAUCGUCGUAAUAAGCUUCAAAUGAUGUCCUCAACAAACAGCCAUAUGUCACUGAAGUUAAAUGAUGAAGCAGAAGAAGCAGCUAAAAUUCUGAAAGAGGGACAAGGAAUUUUCACUGCUAUAAAUACUAAGAUAAAUAAUGAACUUCACUCUCUUACUGAAGGAGUUAAGAAGUUGACCUUUUUCUUCACCUUUUCUGACUCAGAACAAGGCUUAGGUCCUCAUCCAGUAUUUUUAUCCCAACUUGUCUUGGAUAAAUAUUUGUGUCAGGAAGAGAAAAGCACUGCUGCACUUACUUCAUACACAAAAAAACAGUUUUUUCAAGGUAUAUCAGAGUUGGUUGAAAGCUCAAAUGAAGAAAAUUUCCAACUUGUAGAUAUAAGCAAGCCAUUAAUUUGUGAUGAGAACAAUGAAGUCUGCAAGGAGAGACUUGAGAUGGCUAGGCUACAGAUGGCAUAUAUUUGUGCUCAACAUCAGCUGAUUCAACGUAAAGCUAAAGAUUUAAGCAUAAGCUCAGCUGUACAAUGGGCAGAGAAUAAUCUUCAAUCCUUACAGAACAAGACUUUUGGAAAAGAACACCUUGAGGCUAGAAUUUCUAGAUUAAACAGUGAAAUUUCAAAAAUAAAAAAACAGCUAACUCAAAUAAAUAAUGAAAUACUGCCUUCCCUGGUGAAGGAAAAUGCACAGCUAUUGAACAUGCCUGUGGUGAAAGGAGAUUUUGAUUUGCAGAUUGCUAGACAGGACUACUAUACAUCAAGACAAGAUCAAGUAUGCAAUCAGUUGCUAAAACAAAAAGCAUCAUUUGAACUUCUUCAGCUAGCUUAUGAAAUUGAAUUGAGGAAACAUCGGGAUAUCCAUCGUCAACUUGAGAACAUAAUACAAGAUCUAAAACAGAGCAGCAAGGCCCUAGAACAGAGACUGGAGAUGAUGUCUGACCCACUCAUAUCUGAGCAUGCAGUAACAAGGAACACUAUUGAUUCAAGGGAUGUUGCGUCUCAUAGGCUAUACCAGCUUUUGGAAGGAGAGAAUCAGAAACAACAAUUGUUCAGAACACAUGAAGGCAUUGAACAAGUGGCUCAGAAAUUAAAGCAAGAUAUUACUUCAGUGCAAGAUCAGCUAGCAGUAUCUUCUCAAGAACAAUUUCUCUUUUUGUCUAAGCUGGAUAGUGAUUUAGAUGCACUUUGUGACUCUCUGUAUUGUGGAGGAAAUAAGAUCUUGCUUAGUAACCAGGACCUAACAGAGCAACUUUAUCAACUGGAAGUGAACUUAAAUAAACUAAAUCAGCUUAUUAUGGAUCUUCUUGCUGAUGUAAAGGCCAAGAGAAAGGUUUUAGAGACAAAUACCCUGCAUCAGAUGGAAAGAAAAUUGUAUGUGUAUUUUUUCAAAGAUGAAGACUAUUUGAAAGAUAUUGUGGAGAAGCUCGAGCAUCAGUCUCAGGCUCAAACCAUUGGUCUAGAGGAUUAAACAUUAAAUGCAUCUUUGUUCUAUUGUUAAGAUGUGGAAAUAUUUAGUGUAGACUUUUCUUUGAUUCAGUAGGAAAACAAACCUUUUGGAUAAGUGCUUUAUUUGAUAAACUAAUACAUCAUUAUCAGCCUUAUCAAGAACAGACUGUAAGCUCCUUUAUAGUUUUUGGCGUACAGAGACUUCGGGUUCAUGCUUCAGUUUGUGAGAGUUUGCUUUAUAAGAGAGGGAAUGCAUUAAGUAUCUAGAUACUGCCAGACUACAUAUUAGCCUCUAGUACUUAAUGUGCAGAGUAAAAUGCAGAUUCUUGCUUCCAUGAUAUGCUUUUCCUUUGUCUUCAGAUGUUAUGAAAUCCUCUUCAUAUGUGAUCUGCAAAGUGAGUGCAGAGAAGGCAUUUUAGGGGUUGGAACCAAGGAAUGACUGUUGAAUAUAGUAUGCUUCCUUCUGAAGCAGAUGGUUUUCCUAAUAGUAAAAUUUUACAGUAAGUUCUGUCCUGUGAUCCUUUGAGAGGAUGUAAGGUGCAGUUGUGCGAAAGUAACAGCAUGUUUGGGUAUAGACCAAGUGUGUCUGCAUUUUUUUUUUCUACGAAUUGUCCAAAAUCCCUUGGAUUAAUUGAUUGCUCUUCUUGCUACUCUUCCAGACUCUUGCUCUUAGAAAUUCAAGAUUUUAGGAAGAGUUUUGAACUUUCCUUUUGUAGCAAGGUAUCCCAAAGAUGUUUGUGUUCAGCAGAUAAUUAAUCUGCUAUGAUCUCUUUCUUUUUUGGCUCACUCUAGAAUUUGUAGUAACACAAAUUUCAGAAUGUUUUAAUAAUUGCCAGACUUAUUCAGUUUUUAAUAAGAAAGAUAUUUGACUCAUCAACUGCAACCCCAAGAUAUGUGUAGCAAACAGUAUAAGAAACUUGUUAUAGAUUAAAGAGAAUUAAAUGUGAUUUCACACAGUUAUGGUGCCUUUUCUCUACUGUGUCCAUUUGAUCUGGAUCCUGAUGGGAGCAACAAUUCUACUUGCUCUCAGGUCAUAUACAGAUAUGUUUAUAAAUACGUAUUUGAUAAAGGGAAGCAAAUUAAGAAUGACUAUCUUUAUAACUGCAGGUAACUAUUUUUAGUGUAUAAAUAACAUUUUAAAUGUUUUUAACUGUAAAAUUGUAUUUGACAAUUACUUUUCAUGUUUAAAUGUAUAAGAGCACAGCCUCUGUUAAAAGUAUUAAGUACUUUAAAAUAUUUGAUGUUUGUAAGUCUGCACUGUCUUUUUUGAAUCCUAUUAAAUGUUUAAUCAUCUUGACUAUAAUCAUCAAUAAAUCAUAUCAAGGGUAAAAACACUACAAGUUAAUGGAAUGUGUCCUCCUACACCCGUUAUUAAAAAGAGAAAACGCAAUGGGUGCAUUUAUGUCCUUAAUAUUAAGUGAUUUAAAUCCGCAAACGUAAGGAUGUUUCAGGUUAAUGGUGGGAUUGGUUGCGACAAGCAUAACAUUUCUAUAUAUUCUGAUCCAUGGUAUAUUGUACCUUUUUGCCUGUCAAAUUCUAAAUCUAAUCUAGAUUUGCCACCUGGGAUAAGACUGACCCCUCCCACAAGAGAAAAAGUUAGUCUGCAUUUAAAAAUCUCUUCCUCUAGGGAGAAGCUACACACCUAAGGAACAAUGUCUUGACUGUUGUUUUUCUACCCAAGGGUUGAUGAGAAAAAUGGAGAGUUACAAGGAGUACAUAGAACAUGACCUUUGUAAAGUGCCACUAUCAAAUAUUGCUCAAAGGAUUAUGUCAGCUAUGCAGUCUAUUCCUUUAGAGAAAGCUCAGAAGAGCAGAGAAGGUGGACAGAGUGAGUAACUUGUUCAGUUUUUUAACUUAGUUGCAUAUUAUGUAUUUUUGAAAAUGGAAAGACUUAAGGGAAAAUUACCUUUCUAAACACUCACUUUUGUAUUUUGAGGGGUAAAAGUACCGUUUCAAUGGCUUUACGUAGAAAUAUCUCCAACACUAAGGCCUUGUCUAAACUAUGCAGUUUUGUUAACAAAAGCCAACUUUCAUCAGCAAACCAGUGGAGGUGUACACACUGAAAUGCUCCUUCCACUGAUGUAACUCCCCUGCUACACCAACAUAAUACAACCAUCUUGACGAGAGGCAUAGAACUUUUUGGGAUGUGGUUAGUCAUACAGCAUCAGUGUAGACACUCUGCUUGCUUAUGUUGCCCUAAUUGGCUUUCAGGAGUGUCCCACAAUGCCCAUCCUGACUGCUCUGGUCAGCAGUUUGGACUCUUGCCCUGCGGGUACACAGGCAUGCACCCCUCCUCCAUUUAAAGGCCUGGGAAUCAUUGAAAUUCCUCUUUGUGUUUGCUCUGUGUGGUCUGUUCCCACAGCAUCUUCCCAGCUGACUAUGCCAGCUUUCCACAACAGAUGCUCUCCCACGUGGAGUUUGCCAGAGGUGUUGGAUCUGCUAGGUCUGUGGGGAGAGGAGGCUGUGUAGUCACAGCUUUGCUCAAGCUGUAAGAACUUUGAUAUCUAUGAGCAGAUUGCUCAUUGCAUGCAGGAGAAGGGAUGUGAAAGGGAUACGCAGCAGUGCUGUGCCAAGAUCAAGGAGCUGCGGCAGACAUACCAGAAGGCAAGGGAGGCCAACCAUUGCUCUGGUGCAGUGCUGAAGAUGUGCCAUUUUGAGGAGUUGCAUGCUAUCCUUGGCCAUGAUCCACUUCCAAGAGCCCUGUGGAUACUUCGGGGGGGAACUGGAGGCAGCGACCAGAGGAGUCAACUCCACGGAUGAAGUGGUGGAUAUGAAGUGGACCUGGAUGAAGAUGAGGGACAUGCAACAGGAUUGUCCGGUACGAUGGCAAGCCAGGACCUAUGUUUGACUCCAGAGGGGUCUAGCCAGUCCCAGCACUCCAUCUCUGGCACACAUGAAGCAGGAGAGGGAAGCUCUGGUAAGCACCCAUUUUUCUUUCAUACUGCACAGUGACAGAUCUCAUUUACUUUUUUUAUAGUAGAAGAGGGAUAAGGGAUAGAAAUUAACAAUAAAGCCUAUGCAGGUAGGUAGUGGGACCUUGGUGAAAAAAGUUUGUUAAUGUACAUUGGGAUGUCCGAGGAAUCCUCCAUAGAGAUCUCUAGGAAACUUUCAUGUAGGUACUUGGCAAUCCACUGCUGAAGAUUUGUUGGCAGAGCUGCCUUGUUUCUCGCCCUGCUGUAGGAAACUUUAUCGUGCCAACUGACAAUUUUUUCUGCAGCGACCACAGUGGCACACAAGCAAGCAGCAUAUGGACCUGGUCUGGAGCCAUAUGCAUGCAAGAGAGGGACCCUUGCAUCCUGGGUUACCCUAUGGAAUGAGAUAUCGAGUUUGAUUAUCCCAGCCAGUGGAAGAAGGUGCCAAUAUUCAGAAUAUCUCCCUAGGCACAUGUAGUGACCCUCUUUGCAAACCACCUAUACCCUUUGUCUCUUCUUUGCCAUUCCCUCUUCCCAACCAACCCUGCCCCACCGAACUCACCAUAUUUGGGACUCUAACUGAACUGUGUGCUAGCCAAGGGACAGUGAGGAAGAGAUAUAUGUGGCUUUUGUGAUUCAUGGCUGGGAGUGCAGUCACAAUGCUGUGUCUGUUCAUUGUUUCUUUGGCUUUUGCAGAUGUGCCCUUGGGGACCAAUUCCUACACAUUAGCAGAAUGCUUCUGUCAGAUAAGAAGGCGAACCAGGAGGAGUAAGGAGGUUAUGUUUCUCAAAGUAUUGCAGUCAACAGAUACAGCAGAUAGCGAAAAGAGUGUGGAGGAAGACCAUUAAUGAAAAACUCAGGCUGGAUAGCCUGGAAAGGAGACAGGGGCAGGAGUGGAUGAUAAAGCCAUUAGAGGGUCAGACAGAGAUGCUCAGGUCCCUCACAGAGCUGCUGUCUGAGCAUAUCUGUGCAUGACUUCCUCUGCAGCGAAUGUAGAACUCUGUUCCAUGACCUCCCCAAACUCCCUCAACACAUUCCUUGCAUGUUCCCGUUCCCUCGUAGUACUCCUUGCACUCCAUCCCCAGAGACUGGUUUCAUGAUGAAACCUGGAGUUACACACAGCUGUGAGCCUGUUCCUCAUUUCCGUAUCCCCUGUUUGUGCCCAGAUCCCCCCACCCCAACAAAAAUUAUCCCU